GAUGAACGCUGGCGGUCUGCUUAACACAUGCAAGUCGAACGGGCUCUUCGGAGCUAGUGGCGGACGGGUGAGUAACGCGUGAGGAUCUGCCCUUAGGACGGGGACAACAGUUGGAAACGACUGCUAAUACCCGAUGUGCCGAGAGGUGAAACUAUUUGGCCUGAGGAUGAGCUCGCGUCUGAUUAGCUAGUUGGAGUGGUAACGGCACACCAAGGCGACGAUCAGUAGCUGGUCUGAGAGGAUGAUCAGCCACACUGGGACUGAGACACGGCCCAGACUCCUACGGGAGGCAGCAGUGGGGAAUUUUCCGCAAUGGGCGAAAGCCUGACGGAGCAAGACCGCGUGCGGGAGGAAGGUCUAUUGACUGUAAACCGCUUUUGAUAGGGAAGAAGAUCUGACGGUACCUAUCGAAUCAGCAUCGGCUAACUCCGUGCCAGCAGCCGCGGUAAUACGGGGGAUGCAAGCGUUAUCCGGAAUGAUUGGGCGUAAAGCGUCCGUAGGUGGUUUUAUAAGUCUGUUGUCAAAUCGCGAGGCUUAACCUCGUACAGGCAGUGGAAACUAUAAGACUAGAGUGCGGUAGGGGUAGAGGGAAUUUCCAGUGUAGCGGUGAAAUGCGUAGAUAUUGGAAGAACGCCGGUGGCGAAGGCGCUCUACUGGGCUGCACUGACACUGAGGGACGAAAGCUAGGGGAGCGAAAGGGAUUAGAUACCCCUGUAGUCCUAGCCGUAAACGAUGGAAACUAGGUGUUGCCCG
rnacentral:rRNA from 1 species